rnacentral:rRNA from 2 species
UUAAGUUAUUAAGGGCGCACGGUGGAUGCCUUGGCACUAGAAGCCGAUGAAGGACGUUACUAACGACGAUAUGCUUUGGGGAGCUGUAAGUAAGCUUUGAUCCAGAGAUUUCCGAAUGGGGAAACCCAGCAUGAGUUAUGUCAUGUUAUCGAUAUGUGAAUACAUAGCAUAUCAGAAGGCACACCCGGAGAACUGAAACAUCUUAGUACCCGGAGGAAGAGAAAGAAAAUUCGAUUCCCUUAGUAGCGGCGAGCGAAACGGGAAGAGCCCAAACCAACAAGCUUGCUUGUUGGGGUUGUAGGACACUCUGUACGGAGUUACAAAGGACGACAUUAGACGAAUCAUCUGGAAAGAUGAAUCAAAGAAGGUAAUAAUCCUGUAGUCGAAAAUGUUGUCUCUCUUGAGUGGAUCCUGAGUACGACGGAGCACGUGAAAUUCCGUCGGAAUCUGGGAGGACCAUCUCCUAAGGCUAAAUACUCUCUAGUGACCGAUAGUGAACCAGUACCGUGAGGGAAAGGUGAAAAGCACCCCGGAAGGGGAGUGAAAUAGAACCUGAAACCGUGUGCUUACAAGUAGUCAGAGCCCGUUAAUGGGUGAUGGCGUGCCUUUUGUAGAAUGAACCGGCGAGUUACGAUUUGAUGCAAGGUUAAGCAGUAAAUGUGGAGCCGUAGCGAAAGCGAGUCUGAAUAGGGCGUUUAGUAUUUGGUCGUAGACCCGAAACCAGGUGAUCUACCCUUGGUCAGGUUGAAGUUCAGGUAACACUGAAUGGAGGACCGAACCGACUUACGUUGAAAAGUGAGCGGAUGAACUGAGGGUAGCGGAGAAAUUCCAAUCGAACCUGGAGAUAGCUGGUUCUCUCCGAAAUAGCUUUAGGGCUAGCCUCAAGUGAUGAUUAUUGGAGGUAGAGCACUGUUUGGACGAGGGGCCCCUCUCGGGUUACCGAAUUCAGACAAACUCCGAAUGCCAAUUAAUUUAACUUGGGAGUCAGAACAUGGGUGAUAAGGUCCGUGUUCGAAAGGGAAACAGCCCAGACCACCAGCUAAGGUCCCAAAAUAUAUGUUAAGUGGAAAAGGAUGUGGCGUUGCCCAGACAACUAGGAUGUUGGCUUAGAAGCAGCCAUCAUUUAAAGAGUGCGUAAUAGCUCACUAGUCGAGUGACACUGCGCCGAAAAUGUACCGGGGCUAAACAUAUUACCGAAGCUGUGGAUUGUCCUUUGGACAAUGGUAGGAGAGCGUUCUAAGGGCGUUGAAGCAUGAUCGUAAGGACAUGUGGAGCGCUUAGAAGUGAGAAUGCCGGUGUGAGUAGCGAAAGACGGGUGAGAAUCCCGUCCACCGAUUGACUAAGGUUUCCAGAGGAAGGCUCGUCCGCUCUGGGUUAGUCGGGUCCUAAGCUGAGGCCGACAGGCGUAGGCGAUGGAUAACAGGUUGAUAUUCCUGUACCACCUAUAAUCGUUUUAAUCGAUGGGGGGACGCAGUAGGAUAGGCGAAGCGUGCGAUUGGAUUGCACGUCUAAGCAGUAAGGCUGAGUAUUAGGCAAAUCCGGUACUCGUUAAGGCUGAGCUGUGAUGGGGAGAAGACAUUGUGUCUUCGAGUCGUUGAUUUCACACUGCCGAGAAAAGCCUCUAGAUAGAAAAUAGGUGCCCGUACCGCAAACCGACACAGGUAGUCAAGAUGAGAAUUCUAAGGUGAGCGAGCGAACUCUCGUUAAGGAACUCGGCAAAAUGACCCCGUAACUUCGGGAGAAGGGGUGCUCUUUAGGGUUAACGCCCAGAAGAGCCGCAGUGAAUAGGCCCAAGCGACUGUUUAUCAAAAACACAGGUCUCUGCUAAACCGUAAGGUGAUGUAUAGGGGCUGACGCCUGCCCGGUGCUGGAAGGUUAAGAGGAGUGGUUAGCUUCUGCGAAGCUACGAAUCGAAGCCCCAGUAAACGGCGGCCGUAACUAUAACGGUCCUAAGGUAGCGAAAUUCCUUGUCGGGUAAGUUCCGACCCGCACGAAAGGCGUAACGAUUUGGGCACUGUCUCAACGAGAGACUCGGUGAAAUCAUAGUACCUGUGAAGAUGCAGGUUACCCGCGACAGGACGGAAAGACCCCGUGGAGCUUUACUGUAGCCUGAUAUUGAAAUUCGGCACAGCUUGUACAGGAUAGGUAGGAGCCUUUGAAACGUGAGCGCUAGCUUACGUGGAGGCGCUGGUGGGAUACUACCCUAGCUGUGUUGGCUUUCUAACCCGCACCACUUAUCGUGGUGGGAGACAGUGUCAGGCGGGCAGUUUGACUGGGGCGGUCGCCUCCUAAAAGGUAACGGAGGCGCUCAAAGGUUCCCUCAGAAUGGUUGGAAAUCAUUCAUAGAGUGUAAAGGCAUAAGGGAGCUUGACUGCGAGACCUACAAGUCGAGCAGGGUCGAAAGACGGACUUAGUGAUCCGGUGGUUCCGCAUGGAAGGGCCAUCGCUCAACGGAUAAAAGCUACCCCGGGGAUAACAGGCUUAUCUCCCCCAAGAGUUCACAUCGACGGGGAGGUUUGGCACCUCGAUGUCGGCUCAUCGCAUCCUGGGGCUGUAGUCGGUCCCAAGGGUUGGGCUGUUCGCCCAUUAAAGCGGUACGCGAGCUGGGUUCAGAACGUCGUGAGACAGUUCGGUCCCUAUCCGUCGUGGGCGUAGGAAAUUUGAGAGGAGCUGUCCUUAGUACGAGAGGACCGGGAUGGACACACCUCUGGUGUACCAGUUGUCGUGCCAACGGCAUAGCUGGGUAGCUAUGUGUGGACGGGAUAAGUGCUGAAAGCAUCUAAGCAUGAAGCCCCCCUCAAGAUGAGAUUUCCCAACUUCGGUUAUAAGAUCCCUCAAAGAUGAUGAGGUUAAUAGGUUCGAGGUGGAAGCAUGGUGACAUGUGGAGCUGACGAAUACUAAUCGAUCGAAGACUUAAUCAA